GACGAACGCUGGCGGCGCGCCUAACACAUGCAAGUCGAACGAGCGAAGAGGAGCUUGCUUCUCUGAGCGAGUGGCGAACGGGUGAGUAACGCGUGAGGAACCUGCCUCAAAGAGGGGGACAACAGUUGGAACGACUGCUAAUACCGCAUAAGCCCACGGGUCGGCAUCGACCAGAGGGAAAAGGAGCAAUCCGCUUUGAGAUGGCCUCGCGUCCGAUUAGCUAGUUGGUGAGGUAACGGCCCACCAAGGCGACGAUCGGUAGCCGGACUGAGAGGUUGAACGGCCACAUUGGGACUGAGACACGGCCCAGACUCCUACGGGAGGCAGCAGUGGGGAAUAUUGGGCAAUGGGCGCAAGCCUGACCCAGCAACGCCGCGUGAAGGAAGAAGGCUUUCGGGUUGUAAACUCUUUUGUCAGGGACGAGAAGAAGACGGUACCUGACGAAUAAGCCACGGCUAACUACGUG
rnacentral:rRNA from 1 species